rnacentral:lncRNA from 1 species
AUGGCCAGGAGAGCAGCCAGCGAGUUGCAAGGUUGUAAGGGAUUUAUAAGCUAUGUAGGAGCUCCUGGACCACGGCUUUCCCCAACACCUGGAAAUUAUCAAGCUUGCUGCUUGCUGAAUGAUGCUAACAGCUCUAAUGCUGCAAAUUCAUUUUUAACAACUCACUGGCUUUUAUCUAGGACUUGUGUGUAUGUGUGUGUCUUUCUUUAAGAGAAAACUACUAAAGCAACUGAAAAUAUCAAAGACACAAAAAUCAAAUCUGACUUGAAUGUGUUACAUCUCUGAACCCAUUCCCAUUAUGCAUAUGUAGAUAGAUACAUUUCCCUGUUC